rnacentral:rRNA from 1 species
ACACGACUCUCGGCAACGGAUAUCUCGGCUCUCGCAUCGAUGAAGAACGUAGCAAAAUGCGAUACCUGGUGUGAAUUGCAGAAUCCCGUGAACCAUCGAGUUUUUGAACGCAAGUUGCGCCCGAGGCCUUCUGGCCGAGGGCACGCCUGCCUGGGCGUCACGC